rnacentral:rRNA from 1 species
UACGUAGGGUGCGAGCGUUGUCCGGAAUUAUUGGGCGUAAAGGGCUCGUAGGCGGUCUGUUGCGUCAGGAGUGAAAACUCGGGGCUUAACCCCGAGCCUGCUUCUGAUACGGGCAGACUAGAGGUAUGCAGGGGAGAACGGAAUUCCUGGUGUAGCGGUGAAAUGCGCAGAUAUCAGGAGGAACACCGGUGGCGAAGGCGGUUCUCUGGGACGGUACUGACGCUGAGACGCGAAAGCUAGGGGAGCGAACAGG